UUAAGUUAUUAAGGGCGCACGGUGGAUGCCUUGGCACUAGAAGCCGAUGAAGGACGUUACUAACGACGAUAUGCUUUGGGGAGCUGUAAGUAAGCUUUGAUCCAGAGAUUUCCGAAUGGGGAAACCCAGCAUGAGUUAUGUCAUGUUAUCGAUAUGUGAAUACAUAGCAUAUCAGAAGGCACACCCGGAGAACUGAAACAUCUUAGUACCCGGAGGAAGAGAAAGAAAAUUCGAUUCCCUUAGUAGCGGCGAGCGAAACGGGAAGAGCCCAAACCAACAAGCUUGCUUGUUGGGGUUGUAGGACACUCUAUACGGAGUUACAAAGGACGACAUUAGACGAAUCAUCUGGAAAGAUGAAUCAAAGAAGGUAAUAAUCCUGUAGUCGAAAAUGUUGUCUCUCUUGAGUGGAUCCUGAGUACGACGGAGCACGUGAAAUUCCGUCGGAAUCUGGGAGGACCAUCUCCUAAGGCUAAAUACUCUCUAGUGACCGAUAGUGAACCAGUACCGUGAGGGAAAGGUGAAAAGCACCCCGGAAGGGGAGUGAAAUAGAACCUGAAACCGUGUGCUUACAAGUAGUCAGAGCCCGUUAAUGGGUGAUGGCGUGCCUUUUGUAGAAUGAACCGGCGAGUUACGAUUUGAUGCAAGGUUAAGCAGUAAAUGUGGAGCCGUAGCGAAAGCGAGUCUGAAUAGGGCGUUUAGUAUUUGGUCGUAGACCCGAAACCAGGUGAUCUACCCUUGGUCAGGUUGAAGUUCAGGUAACACUGAAUGGAGGACCGAACCGACUUACGUUGAAAAGUGAGCGGAUGAACUGAGGGUAGCGGAGAAAUUCCAAUCGAACCUGGAGAUAGCUGGUUCUCUCCGAAAUAGCUUUAGGGCUAGCCUCAAGUGAUGACUAUUGGAGGUAGAGCACUGUUUGGACGAGGGGCCCCUCUCGGGUUACCGAAUUCAGACAAACUCCGAAUGCCAAUUAACUUAACUUGGGAGUCAGAACAUGGGUGAUAAGGUCCGUGUUCGAAAGGGAAACAGCCCAGACCACCAGCUAAGGUCCCAAAAUAUAUGUUAAGUGGAAAAGGAUGUGGCGUUGCCCAGACAACUAGGAUGUUGGCUUAGAAGCAGCCAUCAUUUAAAGAGUGCGUAAUAGCUCACUAGUCGAGUGACACUGCGCCGAAAAUGUACCGGGGCUAAACAUAUUACCGAAGCUGUGGAUUGUCCUUUGGACAAUGGUAGGAGAGCGUUCUAAGGGCGUUGAAGCAUGAUCGUAAGGACAUGUGGAGCGCUUAGAAGUGAGAAUGCCGGUGUGAGUAGCGAAAGACGGGUGAGAAUCCCGUCCACCGAUUGACUAAGGUUUCCAGAGGAAGGCUCGUCCGCUCUGGGUUAGUCGGGUCCUAAGCUGAGGCCGACAGGCGUAGGCGAUGGAUAACAGGUUGAUAUUCCUGUACCACCUAUAAUCGUUUUAAUCGAUGGGGGGACGCAGUAGGAUAGGCGAAGCGUGCGAUUGGAUUGCACGUCUAAGCAGUAAGGCUGAGUAUUAGGCAAAUCCGGUACUCGUUUAAGGCUUGAGCUGUGAUGGGGAGAAGACAUUUGAGUCUUUCGAGUCGUUUGAUUUUCACACUGCCGAGAAAAGCCUCUAGAUAGAAAAUAGGUGCCCGUACCGCAAACCGACACAGGUAGUCAAGAUGAGAAUUCUAAGGUGAGCGAGCGAACUCUCGUUAAGGAACUCGGCAAAAUGACCCCGUAACUUCGGGAGAAGGGGUGCUCUUUAGGGUUAACGCCCAGAAGAGCCGCAGUGAAUAGGCCCAAGCGACUGUUUAUCAAAAACACAGGUCUCUGCUAACCGUAAGGUGAUGUAUAGGGGCUGACGCCUGCCCGGUGCUGGAAGGUUAAGAGGAGUGGUUAGCUUCUGCGAAGCUACGAAUCGAAGCCCCCAGUAAACGGCGGCCGUAACUAUAACGGUCCUAAGGUAGCGAAAUUCCUUGUCGGGUAAGUUCCGACCCGCACGAAAGGCGUAACGAUUUGGGCACUGUCUCAACGAGAGACUCGGUGAAAUCAUAGUACCUGUGAAGAUGCAGGUUACCCGCGACAGGACGGAAAGACCCCGUGGAGCUUUACUGUAGCCUGAUAUUGAAAUUCGGCACAGCUUGUACAGGAUAGGUAGGAGCCUUUGAAACGUGAGCGCUAGCUUACGUGGAGGCGCUGGUGGGAUACUACCCUAGCUGUGUUGGCUUUCUAACCCGCACCACUUAUCGUGGUGGGAGACAGUGUCAGCGGGCAGUUUGACUGGGGCGGUCGCCUCCUAAAAGGUAACGGAGGCGCUCAAAGGUUCCCUCAGAAUGGUUGGAAAUCAUUCAUAGAGUGUAAAGGCAUAAGGGAGCUUGACUGCGAGACCUACAAGUCGAGCAGGGUCGAAAGACGGACUUAGUGAUCCGGUGGUUCCGCAUGGAAGGGCCAUCGCUCAACGGAUAAAAGCUACCCCGGGGAUAACAGGCUUAUCUCCCCCAAGAGUUCACAUCGACGGGGAGGUUUGGCACCUCGAUGUCGGCUCAUCGCAUCCUGGGGCUGUAGUCGGUCCCAAGGGUUGGGCUGUUCGCCCAUUAAAGCGGUACGCGAGCUGGGUUCAGAACGUCGUGAGACAGUUCGGUCCCUAUCCGUCGUGGGCGUAGGAAAUUUGAGAGGAGCUGUCCUUAGUACGAGAGGACCGGGAUGGACAUACCUCUGGUGUACCAGUUGUCGUGCCAACGGCAUAGCUGGGUAG
rnacentral:rRNA from 1 species